UACGUAGGGUGCAAGCGUUAAUCGGAAUUACUGGGCGUAAAGCGUGCGCAGGCGGUUUUGUAAGACAGAUGUGAAAUGCCCGGGCUUAACCUGGGAACUGCAUUUGUGACUGCAUGGCUAGAGUUUGGCAGAGGGGGGUAGAAUUCCACGUGUAGCAGUGAAAUGCGUAGAUAUGUGGAGGAACACCGGUGGCGAAGGCGGCUCUCUGGGCCGAUACUGACGCUGAGGAGCGAAAGCGUGGGGAGCGAACAGG
rnacentral:rRNA from 1 species